AUGGGAGCCGGCAGCUGGGGGGGCGGGGGGAGACAGGGUACGUGGCUGCCGGGGGCAAGGGCUCACCGCGCAGGCAGGAAGCAGGGCAGUGUUGGGGCGCUCCCCUCCCCAACAAGCGUGGUUUCUGACCUCUUCCUGCUACUCGCCACUAUAACCGGGUCCCCUCGCCAGCUCCCUAGCCCGGCCCUGGUCUCGGAGCGAGCACCCCGCACACGGCGCCCGGGACACAGCUCCGAGGCUAAGCAGAGAUCCACAACUGACCCCAAAGAUCUCUGGAGUCCGUCCCUCGCCCUGGAACCCCUCCACGUGAAUCAAGCUGCUCACACUCGCUCUUCUCCAGGAAAAGAGCAGAGGUCAGGGAGGCAGGACGCACAUGAAAGCCUUCGCUACCAGCCCACUGAGUUAGGCAAUGGAACGGUUAGCCGUCCUGACUCCACCCCCAGAGGGCCCGCUGGGGAGCCCGCGGACGGUCCCCGGUUCCCUCCGCACUCCUCGCGGGUCCACCUCCAAACAGACCCCGAGGCAGCCGUCAAUCCCGCCAGCGCCCGCCCUCAGGCUGGGGUUGGGGAGAGUCCUGGGCGCCUGGCCCCUCAGGGAUCGAACUCGGGUCCUUGCACCUGCACAGCAGGCAGUGAAACCACUGAGCUAAAUCCCCAGCCCAGUUUCCUGAAUUUCUUUCGUUCAUUCACUCCACACAUGCUUAUCAGGUAACUGCUUUGAGCCCAGCACUGUGAUGGAAGUAAAGAUACAAGACCAAACAAGAACUGAGCACAUAACAUAUGCACCUGUAAUCUCAGCACUUGGGGGACUGAGACAGGUGAAUCUCCUAAGCCCAGAAGUUGGAGACCAACCUGGGAAACAAAUAAAUACAGACCUUGUCUUAAAAAAAAAAAACAAGACAAAUGUGGUCCUGUCUCUCUAGUAAUAGAUAGUAGAUGCCUAAUAACUAUUCAGUGGAUGACUAUCUGGGGGAAGCUGCUUGGUCUUAGUUGGGAGCUGUUUUGCUUGCUUUGAUGAGAAGCUGGAGAAAUUAUUUUGUAUGUGUUUUCAAUUAAAAAAAAUUUAAGAAAAACAGCUUUUAAAAAAAUAAAAACUGACUGGGUGUAGUCAUAUGUGCCUAUAGUCCCAGCUACUCAGGACAGGAGGAUCACUUGGGUCCAUGAGUUUGUGACCAGCCUGGUCAAUAUAGGGAGAGUCAGAAAGAGCAAGAAACAAAGAAAAAGAAGGGAAGAUUCUCCUAGGAGACCACACUGCCACCUUCCUCCUGGAAGCCAGGCUUUGUUGUCCUUUUCCCAUCCUUCCUUUGGAUUUCUCUGGGUUCAGGGACAAAGGAACCGAGACUGUGGCCAGAAUUCUUUUCAUUUGCCAUAAAAGUAGAUGUGAACUGAGACUCAAAGAGUUUGUUCCAGUCAGUGGUAAGGAAGACUGAAGUCCCUGGUUCUAUUGUUGGGUGCCUUUCUAUGGAGCUGCUCAAGGAAGAGGGCGGCCCCCUUGUUGGCAGUAGGCUGAGGCUGGUCUGUGACCCACACUCCAGGGAGCUGCUUCAGAGGGUCCCCCAAAGGGCCAUAGCUCCGUUGCUGUUGAAGACAUCCAGCUCGGGGAGCAUUUUCCACCCUCCAGGGAAGGAGGAGUCUUCUCAAUCCCUGUAAACUCCAAACAAACCCACCGCACACCUGCCUUGUGCCAGCAGCAAGUGGAAAGUCUACAAAAGAGCCCUAGUUCUCCCAACACUCAAGCUCCAGCUGCGCCCAGGCCAGGGCCUUCUUCUCCUAGAAUUCAGCCAUCCAACCAGCAGUCCCCAAGAGUAAAAUGAACUGGACUGAUGUGGGAGGUGAUGGAAAGAAGGCAGAAGCCCACCCAGCUGCGCACAAGCCAUGCCAACGCUCGCUGGUUCCUUCUCUCUGCCCUACUGUGUGUACUUGACCUGGCCAGGCCCUGUGGAGAGACACGUGGAGGGAGGAUCUGGAAGUUCUGGAAACUAAAAGCACCCCAAGCCUCAUAGCCCUUUGUCUUGGUUUGUUUCCUUCCUUCCAUCUUGAGCUUCUCUGACCAUGGUCUUCCAGAGCCCUGAUCCCGGCGCCUAAUGGGCUCUUCAUGACAGCCAGAGGCAUAGCAGUCACAGAGUACAAGGAGAGCGUGCCUAAUUUGAAAACCCAACAACUAAAAAGCUCUAGAAUACAGUGCCAAGCUAAAAACACCACCAUUGGAAAAUUGCACACCUGAUCUUAUAGUCAGAAUACAGGUGCACUAAAAACAUGGCAUAAAAUUCCUUUCAGGAUUAAGGUACAUGUGCAACCUAAAGGAAUUUCAUGUUUAGACUUGAGUUGCAUCCCCCAAGAUGUUACUUUAGGUAUAAAUAAAUAUUCCAAAGUUUGAAACUUCAGGUUCCAAAGAUAUCAGAUAAGGGAUAAUUAACCUGGAUUUGUAGAAGGCCAGAAGGAAGUAGAAAAAGCUCACUAUGGUUUCUCAGAUUUCUAGCUUAGAAAGCCAGAGGCUUCACUUUUGUCCCUCAUCCCAGUAGCAAUCUAAUUAAUGUUUUUGUUUUUGUUUUGCUACUAGUGAUCGAACUCGGGUCCUUGCGCUUGCAAGGCAAGCUAUGGAACCACUGAGCUAAAUCCCUGGCCAGCAAUCUAAUUAAUAGACCUACCCCAAACUCUUAACUGCACAUGGCCUAACACAGGGCCCAAUAUAGAACAGUGCCCUGGUUCCAUCUUUGCUGAAUGAAAUACGGCUUCAGUCAAAUUCCAGCUCUCUACCUCAGUUUCCUUAUGAACCCACGGGUGGCCCUGGGAGGCCAGUCCUUUGCCAUAGCCCACACAGCAGUUCCUAAGUCAGGAGUCCUGAGCUCCCUGAGGAGCCAGUGCUGGAGAAACUGAGUUUGUUCUGACCUGUGUAUGCCCCAGCCAGCAGCUCUGAGCCUUCACCAGGCCUGAUUCCUCCCCCACCAGCUUCUGUCUGGCCAGGGAUGUUUGCCAUGGGACUGUUCCUGCCUUUCCCACCACAGAUUCGUGGGGGAUGGGGAUAGCCAGCAGCUUCUCCCUUGCAAGAUCUCUCACAAGACUGGCAUAGAGCAGCCAAGACAAUUUCCUGGAUUCCCAGGCUCUGCCCAACUCUCUGGCCUCAGGUGAUGGACAUUCAGCCUUUUCAGUGAUGAUGCUUAUACCUCUCUCCCAAAUGCAGGUGACCUUGAGGACAUCUCUGGGGGCAGGGAUGGCCAUGCUUGAUAGCUGCCUCACCUGGGCCCUCCAGCCGGGGCUGGAACAUUCCCCUAGCUAUUUCCAGUUCCCAGCAAAUAUCAGAGCAAAAAUUCAAAAAUCUGCUGGGAAAUUCCUGUUGAGUAAUAACCCUCUCCCAGUCACAUGCCUGUGGAGGGAGUGGCCGGGGACCUCUUAGCUACUGGGACCUUGGGCCUUCCAUUGAGCCUGGAGACAUGCCGGGUCACUUCCAGGGAAGUGAUGGGAGAGCAUCAGGAUGUGGGGAGCAGAUACCAUCAGGGUAAGAGCCCUGGGGUCAGGAGUCCUGCAGGAGAGGAUGGGCUAGCCAGGUGGUCUUCAAACUCCAGCCUAUGGAGUUCCUUGCCUUCCAAGAACACGUUUAUCAGACUCCUCUGUAUCUCCAGUAACAAGAGGGUUUGACCUUUACAAAACUGUUCCCUCAUCUAGAAUACUAAGCAAGUUUCUUUACAAAGGAUACAAAUCCUCACAGAGUUACUUAGUUGUUUUUUGGUUUUUGUUUGGUACCAGAGAUCGAACUCUGGUCCUUGCGCUUGCGCAGCAGCUGGCGAAACCACUGAGCUAAAUUACCGGCCUUACUUAGUUUUUGUUUUAAUGUUCUUUAGAUGUAUUCAAACAUAAAACAAGGUACAAACUUCUUAAGGUUCUAGGCUUACCAUCAACAAUAAAAUCCAAACAUGCUUACAGAUUCUAUUUAAAAGAAACUGUGAAGCCAGUAAGAUUCAAAUUAGCCGCAUUAAUUGAAAUGUGACUUGGGCCAGGGAUUUAGAUCAGUGGUUCCGCCACCUGCCUCACAAGUGCAAGGUCCCAAGUUCAAUCCCCGGUACCAAAAUAAAGAAAUAAAUAAAAUGAAUGCAAACAAAAGAAAAAAACAAUAAAAAUUAUUAAAAAAAAAAAAAAAGAAAUGUGACUGUUGCCAUUUGCUGAAAGUCAAUAGCUGCUCUUAGCGUGAUGUAGCUCUGACUAUGACUGAGCAGGU
rnacentral:lncRNA from 1 species